rnacentral:rRNA from 1 species
GUAGGUGGCAAGCGUUGUCCGGAAUUAUUGGGCGUAAAGCGCGCGCAGGCGGUCCUUUAAGUCUGAUGUGAAAGCCCACGGCUCAACCGUGGAGGGUCAUUGGAAACUGGGGGGACUUGAGUACAGAAGAGGAAAGCGGAAUUCCAAGUGUAGCGGUGAAAUGCGUAGAGAUUUGGAGGAACACCAGUGGCGAAGGCGGCUUUCUGGUUCUGUAACUGACGCUGAGGCGCGAAAGCGUGGGGAGCAAACAGGAUUAGAUACCCUGGUAGUCCACGCCGUAAACGAUGAGUGCUAAGUGUUAGGGGUUUCCCGCCCCCUUAGUGCUGCAGCUAACGCAUUAAGCACUCCGCCUGGGGAGUACGGCCGCAAGGCUG